CCUUCACAGCAGCCAGGGAUGCCUGGGCACAAGUGCCUGAGUUCCGAGGGACUUUGGGAAACACUUUGCUAACUCUCUCCUGCCUGGAAACCAGGAUUCUGCACCUGCCUGAUGGACAGUCUGGCCAGAGCCUCGGCCGUGCCCCCGGGGACAAGGAACUAGCACAAAUAACCGUUUGGAAAUUGGAUCAUGGCAAAAUUACUAAUAAGUCCAUAACGGAAACUGAAGGCAGUUUGAUCUACACCUUCAAUAACAGUCCCACAAAAGUUGAAGAAAUGUGUUAUGUCUCCAAAGACAUAUACUCCAAAGAGCAUAGUUAUACCCUAAAAUUAGGACGUGAUUCAGGUACGUCAUUUCUUUGAGUUCAGUUGAAAUGCUUUGUUCUUUGUACUGCAGAUAAUUCUUCUUUUUUCUCCCCCUAGUCCCUCUCUCUCUUCCUUUCCUUCUUCUCAUUAACAUAUGUCUUUUAUAAUUGAUGUUGUUUACCGUCCUUUCGUCAAAUCUAUGCCACAUCACUGAGGCGAGCCAUCCGGCAGGACACCUAAGUACACAUUAGAGGAGCCUGCGAGCCAUGAGAGGCUUUGACCGUCUCAUCAGGGCAAUUAUAAUAAGCAUCUUGGUCUCACUGAAGGCAUUGCAUUCAAAUAAUAGCCUUCAUCAUUACUCGUUUUAAAUAUGAAAGUAAACUUUGAAGCCCUUUGAAGGACCCAAGCAAACAACACACAUGUGAAAGUAGAUCAGUGAGCCUUUGAAAAGAUAUCCCUACGUAAAAUCUGUGAAGAAUCUUAGGCUUUAAAGAAAGACCUCCAGGUAAAUGAUGGCUUUUAAUAAGACACAUGACAAUCUCAAUUAUGAGAAUCCCUUCUGUGUGUUCUCUGUGCCAUUUUAUAUUCCCAGCAGGAUUUUUUUUUCUCAUCAAGAGUUUCCAGAGGUGUCUACUGUUAUCUAUGUGUAAAGCAUAUUUAAGUAGUCCCCCAAAGCUAUGCUAAUUAAAAAAAGAAAGAAAAAAA